CGCGACCCCAGGUCAGGCGGGACUACCCGCUGAAUUUA
rnacentral:rRNA from 1 species